GAAGGUGGCAAGCGUUAUUCGGAAUCACUGGGCAUAAAGGGCCUGCAGGCGGUUUGUUAAGUUAAUAGUGAAAGCCCUCGGCUUAACCGAGGAACUGCUAUUAAUACUGGCAAACUAGAGUAUUGGAGGGGCGAGUGGAAUUCUUGGUGGAGCGGUGGAAUGUGUAGAUAUCAGGAGGAACGCCGGAGGCGAAAGCGACUCGCUGGACAAUAACUGACGCUGAGGGGCGAAAGCUAGGGUAGCAAACGGGAUUAGAUACCCCGGUAGUCCUAGCCGCUAACUAUGAGCACUAGGCGAUGGAGAUACCGAUAUCACCGUCGCUGGAGAUAAUUUAUUAAGUGCUCCGCCUGGGGAGUAUAGGCGCAAGCUUGAAACUCAAAGGAAUUGACGGGGACUCACACAAGCGGUGGAGGAUGUUCUUUAAUUCGAAACAACGCGAAGAACCUUACCCAGACUUGACAUGUACUGGACUGCCUAUGAAAGUAGGUUUCCUCUUCGGAGGUCGGUACACAGGUGUUGCAUGGCUGUCGUCAGCUCGUGUCGUGAGAUGUCGGGUUAAGUCCCUUAACGAGCGCAACCCUUACCACUAAUUGCCAACAGGUAAUGCUGGGGACUUUAGUGGGACUGCCGGUGUUAAACCGGAGGAAGGUGAGGACGACGUCAAGUCAUCAUGGCCCUUACGUCUGGGGCUAGAAACGUCCUACAAUGGGCAGUACAAUGAGUAGCGAGACCGCGAGGUGGAGCAAAUCUGUAAAAACUGUCCUUAGUUCGGAUUGCAGGCUGAAAUUCGCCUGCAUGAAGCUGGAAUCGCUAGUAAUCGUGGAUCAGCAUGCCACGGUGAAUAUGUUCCUGAGUCUU
rnacentral:rRNA from 1 species